ACGGGUGAGUAACGCGUGGGUAACCUGCCCUAUACAGGGGGAUAACAGUCAGAAAUGGCUGCUAAUACCGCAUAAGCGCACAGAGCUGCAUGGCUCAGUGUGAAAAACUCCGGUGGUAUAAGAUGGACCCGCGUUGGAUUAGCUUGUUGGUGGGGUAACGGCCCACCAAGGCGACGAUCCAUAGCCGGCCUGAGAGGGUGAACGGCCACAUUGGGACUGAGACACGGCCCAGACUCCUACGGGAGGCAGCAUG
rnacentral:rRNA from 1 species